AUCAUCUUUUGGUUAAGAGAAGAUAUACAAAAUUAUUCCAUUGUAGCAUUGUUAAGAAAAGUCUUGCGUCACCCUAUUGUAUUGUGUAUAACAUAAUCUUGUUUGCCCUUUCCCUAUUUUAUUAUUUGGCCAACCAACGUUUUUUUGUAUUUAUGUAUAUUUUUCCACAAUAGGUUGUAAAGUCUAGCGGAGCAGAACUCAUUCAAACAAUGACCUGUUUGUUAAUCUUUUUUCUAAAUUUUUUUUCUAAAACUUGAAAACCAUCCUCGUUUGCAAUGUGCAACUUUUUUCGGUCUGAGUUUCGUCGUCAAUAUAUUUGGGAGGAACACCAAGUACAAACAUGCAUACAGACGACGCCAGACGCACACGAUAUACAUGCACUCACUUGGCAAUGCGCCCAUAGCUAGCAAUAUUCAAACAUGCAUGUGGCCGAGUGAAAAAGGAGAUACGUUGGACAUACAUGCAUGGCGGUGGAGAGAAGGAUGUCCAUUCGUUCAUACAUGGAUCAGAAUAAACUGAAAUAAACAUACGCGCGGGAUCUAUCCCUUGCGAUCUCUUUCGAGACGAACACGUAAACGGCGUACAUAUUUCUAUGUCGUUUUACAAAUUUGGAGGCCAAUAUUUGGCCUGUCUUGAUAUUUUUUGUUAUUUGGCUG
rnacentral:lncRNA from 1 species